AAGGCGAUGAUCUGUAGCUGGUCUGAGAGGACGACCAGCACACUGGGACUGAGACACGGCCCAGACUCCUACGGGAGGCAGCAGUGGGGAAUAUUGGACAAUGGGCGCAAGCCUGAUCCAGCAAUGCCGCGUGUGUGAAGAAGGCCUGCGGGUUGUAAAGCACUUUCAGUGGGGAGGAAGGCCUCAAUGCUAAUAGUAUUGAGGAUUGACGUUACCCACAGAAGAAGCACCGGCUAACUCUGUGCCAGCAGCCGCGGUAAUACAGAGGGUGCAAGCGUUAAUCGGAAUUACUGGGCGUAAAGGGUGCGUAGGUGGUUUUUUAAGUCAGAUGUGAAAUCCCUGGGCUCAACCUAGGAAUUGCAUUUGAUACUGAAUAACUUGAGUAUGGUAGAGGGAAGUGGAAUUUCCAGUGUAGCGGUGAAAUGCGUAGAUAUUGGAAGGAACAUCAGUGGCC
rnacentral:rRNA from 1 species